GUGGUGUUUUCACCAUGGCUGUAAAACUGAGCAGUGUCCUGCAGCACGAACGCACCACGCAGAGUGACUGGUUCCUGCCGACAGGGCCUGCCAAGUUAUUGGGCUUCCUGUGCGAUGGUUCCAUACAAA
ensembl:scaRNA SCARNA14 Small Cajal body specific RNA 14